rnacentral:rRNA from 1 species
ACGGAAGGUGCAAGCGUUGCUCGGAAUCACUGGGCGUAAAGGGUGCGUAGGCGGCUUGGUGGGUCUGGUGUGAAAGCCCCGGGCUCAGCCCGGGAAGGGCGCUAGAAACUGCCAAGCUCGAGUGCCGGAGGGGAGAGUGGAAUUCCUGGUGUAGCGGUGAAAUGCGUAGAUAUCAGGAGGAAUACCGGUGGCGAAAGCGACUCUCUGGACGGUAACUGACGCUGAGGCACGAAAGCGUGGGGAGCGAACAGGA